UACGAAGGGGCUAGCGUUGUUCGGAUUUACUGGGCGUAAAGCGCACGUAGGCGGAUCGUUAAGUCGGGGGUGAAAUCCUGGAGCUCAACUCCAGAACUGCCUUCGAUACUGGCGAUCUUGAGUCCGGAAGGAGGUGAGUGGAACUCCUAGUGUAGAGGUGGAAUUCGUAGAUAUUAGGAAGAACACCAGUGGCGAAGGCGGCUCACUGGUCCGGUACUGACGCUGAGGUGCGAAAGGCGUGGGAGCAAACAGG
rnacentral:rRNA from 1 species